rnacentral:rRNA from 2 species
UACGGAGGGUGCGAGCGUUGUCCGGAAUCAUUGGGCGUAAAGGGCGCGUAGGUGGCGGGACAAGCGUGCGGUGAAAGCUCGGGGCUCAACCCCGCGUCGGCCGUGCGAACUGUUUUGCUUGAGCACUGUAGAGGCAGGCGGAAUUCCGGGUGUAGCGGUGGAAUGCGUAGAGAUCCGGAAGAACACCGGUGGCGAAGGCGGCCUGCUGGGCAGUAGCUGACACUGAGGCGCGACAGCGUGGGGAGCAAACAGG